CAGUAGCCGCGGGAAAACGGAGGGAGCUAGCGUUGUUCGGAUUUACUGGGCGUAAAGCGCACGUAGGCGGACUUUUAAGUCAGGGGUGAAAUCCCGGGGCUCAACCCCGGAACUGCCUUUGAUACUGGGAGUCUUGAGUUCGAGAGAGGUGAGUGGAAUUGCGAGUGUAGAGGUGGAAUGCGUAGAUAUCGGAAGGAACACCUGUGGCGAAAGCGGCUCACUGGACCAUAACUGACGCUGAGGCACGAAAGCUAGGGGAGCAAGCAGGAUUAGAGACCCCCGUAGUCCCUGUCUCUUAUAC
rnacentral:rRNA from 1 species